UAGUAAAAGAUUCAUUCAUUUCUACAAUUAAAAAUUAGAGUUGCUGACAAAAUGACCAGACAGUUACACAUGACGUGCUAUGUGUAACUCGUUGUAAUGUAUAAAAAUCAAUUUUUAACAGUAGAAAUAGAUGAAAAUUUUAACA
rfam:Gossypium hirsutum cultivar TM-1 chromosome 4, whole genome shotgun sequence